GAGGUUGUGGCUCAGUGGGAGAACGCUCGCCUAGCACACGUGAGGCACUGAGUUCAAUCCUCAGCACCACA
rnacentral:tRNA from 1 species